rnacentral:lncRNA from 1 species
UCCCCCAAAUCGAACCCUCCCUAGACCUCCUCCUCAACCGCCGCCGCCGCCCCCUCUGCCGUUGACCACGCCCUCCGCCACCACCCCUUUGGCUGACCUGUGCGACCCCAUCGGGAUCUAUGGCGGCGGUGCUUGGAUCUCGGCGCCGCCUCCCUCGAUACGCCUCUGAUGUGCGAGGUUGUCGUCGCCUCCCUCCCUUCGACACCACCACCAGAACUGGUCGACGAUGCCGGUCGCCUCCAUCUCUUCCUUACGGUCCAUCACGCCGACGAGCAUAGGCGGACUCCCCACCGUGGCUUCCUCCCCGCCAACGGCGAGCGUGGUGUCCCAUCUCCACUAUACUGGUACAAUACUUUCCUCAGAUCCGUCUUGGUGGAAAUCCGAUGCAGGUGAGAUCUUCCUAGGUUGUUAAUCUUUUCUUCUCUGGUCGAUGAGAACUCAUGGUGCGCAUUGUCCAGUUGUCCGUACGAAGGCAGAUUUCCCCUUCCACCGAGUUACUACUGAGUGUGUUCCUUAUUGUUGUUUUCCUUUUCCUACCAAAUUGAUGCAGGUGCUAUUAGUGAAAGGAUUGGAGAGUGGUUCUAGCAGUGGUUGGUUUGUUCGAGGAAUUCCUGGUGCUCGUGAUUUGUAAAGGGUUUCAGCCAGGUUAGUGUAUAUUUCAUUUUGUUAUAUUUUUUUUUGAAACGAGGCAAAAGACUUGCCAUUUUCAUUGAUUAAGAAGAAGAUAAUUGUCCGGUUAAUUGACGGAAAACCGGGCUAAAACCGAUAUAACACUGCCCACAUGACAUGGGCACCACCGGCCAACCUGGCCACCGACAUGGAACAAAAGCCACGACGGCACAUGCCAAUAGAUGGCCACACGCGCAAGCAACUGACAGCUCCGACUUUGACGAUGAGGAACGCAAGGGAAAUAUGCAGGUCUUGCGCUGACCGUGCCCCCGCAAACGACCACCGAAUGCAUGUCAUCAUCACCACCUGGACUCGCUCCAACGCAGCUCCGACUUCAAAGCAACCAGCAACCACGGAAGAGCACCUUGGACACGCCGGGAAGAACCGACUACCGAAGACCACGCCGCGACCCAAGCUUCGAUCGACGCCAUCAUCGUUGCCAAACAGAAAUCAGCGCCCCGCCUCAGCAAACCACGCGGCGAAGAUGCCGCCCUCGACGGCGUAGAUGCCGUCAUCCACUAGUCUCACAGUCGUAGCCUGCUCCGAGAUGAUGCCCCCAAGGAGGAGAAAGACGCGAAGACGCCUCCAUCGCCCGAUCCAGCGGAUCUGAGGUUUCCCUCCGGAGCCAAAGCCGUGGGGAGGAGCAGGAGCACCUCCACGACGACGCUUCCAAGAAAGACCACGGCACCCGCGGGCGCCGCCGUCGCCGGCUCCGAUGAAGACCGGAGCAAGGAUUUCUCCCGGAGUUGCGCCGACCACCAGCCGCCACCGACCACCACCCACCAACCACCACCCCUGCUGAGAGCAACCUCACUCCAGCCGCAGGAUCCCUCGAUCCACCGCGACCAGCCACGCACCACCUCCCCAGCCGUAGCCGCCACCCACCACCGCCGCACCACCGCGACCACCACCACCGCAGCACCCAUGCCACAUCACGAGAGGAAGCAAGAAGAUAUGAGACACGCCAAUCCAGAUCGAAGCCACUCUCCCGAAGCAGCAGAACAGAGGAGGAGCAGGGGCACCCGCAGCACACCACGUGCUAUUAAUAUGCAAGUAUAUGUGCCAAUUUCAUUUGCCUGUAUCCAUCCUUUUUAGUACAUGGAUCAGUCUUUAUUUAUUCAGGUUCAGACAUUGCGCAACUGAAGACUGUGUAUAUUAGUCGAAGGCACGAGCUAUGCACGUGUUCUUCACUCACUCAUCCGUUUAUUUGAGCAACAUUUAUUUUCAGAUGGGAGUAGUAUGUAUGCUGUUGAGUGUUAAAUCCCGUCCAAAGGAUUGGCAAGUUGCUGCUUCGAAACUUGGUAGAUACAAACGAUUAGUGCUCUGUACAAGCUAGUUGUUUACGGAGUAGAAGGAAGGUUACUCUAGUCAUUGUUGUUUCCCGAUCAUAGCCACAGAAGAUCUUGAAUAGCAGAGUUUCACCAGUGGGCCCAUUUGGAGCCGUCAGGAUUCCAGAAAGGUCCUGGAGUCGUUUUGGCGCCUGCCCGUACAUAGCGAAUCUAAGUAAUGUCAACCAUUAGAUCUCUUGGGCAAGGUACUGAUGAACGGUGGAUAUUCAUUUUAUGGAACAAAUAAAUGACUUGUAUUUGCUCUGGAGUCUGGGCGGACUGCUAAUCCAAAUUCAAAAAAUUGUGUACUAUAGUAGUAGGGAAAUGUAGCGCUCUAUAAAGUUUUUGGUGCCUCCAUCUGAAAGAGCUAAAUUUAUAGACAUGAGUGGAUUUGAUAUUAAAAAUUUCUCUACAAAAGUAGCUACUUUUCCUGCCCUGAUUUACCAUCUAGCUAAUUGUUUCAUAGGAGUUCAAUACUGAGGUAACAUUUUUUUUCUCUCAAACUCGUGCUUGAAUGUACCAAUAAAGAUGCUCUGCACAACUCUAAUUCUUGGUGCCAAUGGGUAUUCUUCCAUUUACUAUGAUUAAGUGCUCUUUGUGCUAAUUCUGGAUGUUAAAAGAAAACGAACUUUGACUAAUGAACAUGUAGUUGGAAUGAACAAGUACCCUUGUUUAUCUCCAUUGAUCGAUUGAUGUGAGAUCAUUUAGUUCACUCGUCAUCACGCACAUAUACUUGUACAUGUAAUAAAAGCAAUCAGAUAGAGAAUCUCUUUCUGUCUCUUCUCUGUUUGCUACAAAUAUAGACUGAAAGUGUAGUACUGCUUCUAGAGUUUAAAGAUUUGAACUUGCAAAAGUGUUAGUUCUCUGAUAUGAAGUUCAUUAUUUAUGUUCUGUGAAAGUUGUUGUCUGAAUGUGAUAUACCCAUAUAUUAUAUAAAGAACAAGUUCACACCAGUACCAAAAAUUAUGCUUAAACUUUCAUGCCAUCUAAUAGAUAAUAGUUUCUGUAUACUUUUCAACUUCACAAGCAUUGCAGUAACUACAUUGUCACAGGAAAUUAGAUAUUUUGAGAAGCUUCUACAAGAUCUUGAUAUCAUUUGUGUUCUAUCCCUUGAUCCUGUGCUUGAGAAGGAGCUUCCCUAAAUUGCACAACUCCGAAAACUUGUACGUGAUUUGAUUUUCUUCUGGUGGUCACACUUGCAUCCUUCAAGGAUCAUCCUUAUCAGUUAUUACAGUACAUUUGUCGAUUUAGCAUUUUAAUUGCUAUUUGCACUAUUAGGAGUAUCUCCUGGAAAAAAAUUCUUCUACAGACAAACGUGACUAAUGUAUGUGUGUUGUGUUAGAUAUAGAUUUGGUUAUGAGUUACUGCUUUUUGUGGUCAUGGGGAAAUUAAUCAUUCCAGGAUCUCAACAUUGUAGUAUUUUGCGCAAAUUUGUGAAGUUCAAUGUCUUAGUGUCAUGGAUCAGGACUAAAUGUUCUUGAGUUAUCACAUCAAAACUUGAGAUGUGGAAAUCAAACUACUUUUGCUUACUUGAUUCUUUUGAGCGUGCAUAUGAAAGAAUGGUUAUCUAUGUUGCUUGCCUGUGCUAUCAGCUACUGUGACCUAUCUUUCAUACUUAUAUACACAUUAUGCUUGGACAUGUGUUGUUUGUACGAAAGGAAACAUCUAGUAUUUUGUAAUGCUUGAACUCAGGGUAGUCACUACUUAAAUAUUUCUCCAUUUAAUCGAGUAAGAACAGUUCUUCAGAACAUUUUAUCAUUUCCAUCUUCAGACAUCUUGAUAGGAAGCACCAGGGAAUGUUUGCAGUUUCAAUUUAUAUUGUACGUAAAGGACUGUAGAUAUGCUCUCUGCCAGUGAAAACUUCUAAAUGAUCUAUGCACUAUGGCAGUGCCGCAGUGGAUACUUAUAAAUGACUGCACACAUGUUUUAUUAAGUCUUAUUAGUAUAGGGAGUUCAAUAAUCUUUUGGUGUUAAACAAGUGGAUGCUACAACUGAAUACUAAAUCAGUAAAACACUGUAGGAGUUUUAAGCAAGCUUUGGGUAAAAAGAUUUUUGUAUUGUGUUGUUUAUUCCCAUUGGUCGAUCGAUGUGAGAUUAUCUAGUUCAACCGUCAUCAUGCACAUAUACUGUUACAUGGAAGAAAAAUAACUAGCUAGAGAACUUAUUUAUGUCUCCUUUCAUUUUGCUGCUAAGACAGACUAAAAGUGGAGUACUCUUCUAGAGUUUAAUUGUUAUUACAUGAUGCUUUUAUAAGGUUGGGGUCUUCAAUCUAGUUUUUACUUGAUAAGUUACUGUUUCUUAAGAAUAACAUGAAGCAUGGAUUCUUAUAUGUUCCAUGUAUUAUGUCAGGGCAAGUAAUUAUCAGCUGAGCAAAGGCUACAACAUGCUAGGAGGAGAAGUUUGAAUGGAGGCAGAGAGUACACUUGGUAAGUCAUAUAUCCAACCUGAACUUAUUUACUCAUUUUUUAUUUUUGUUCUAGUUUGAGUCCAAAAAGAUGGUUUGACAAAUGAGGUUGACAUUCUGUACACAUGUGCGCAUCUACCAUUCAUGCUUGUGAAGCAUUUUUAAAAAUAAAAUUGAAUAUGGCCAAAUUUGGGUUCCAAGUUUUGCCAUGCAGUCAUGACUUCGUAUUAGUUUGCCCCCUUCAACAUGUAAUACUAUGAGCCUGACCAUAUUUUAUUUGGAACAUUUAGAUGAUGUGCCAGAAGGAAAACAAAAGGCAACGAUGAGAAGGAAAACAAACGGCAAUCUACUUACAUCUGACGUGUUAAUUCGAAUGUGCCAAAAAUUUCUCUUUUCAGGAAAUAGAAUGGAAAAAGGAAGAGGAGAGAAUGCUGAAGCACAAGAGCGAGAGGCUAGCGGAAGUUAAAGCAAUAAACUAUAAGCAUUUUGAAUGAUUAGGGCCUCGUGUCGUUGGGAACAUUACAACCAUGGGGAAAGCUAAUUUUGGUUGCUAGUUUAGCAUAGAAGCCACUAUAUGCUCAUUUUGGUCGUGUGUCGCAUCAAAAAACAUAUGUAAUUUUCCUUUUGUUGCACAACACCCUUGUAUAUGGGCGUUUCUAGAAGCAUAUGUAUUUGGUCGUUAAUUUUAUUGAGUGAAGAUAAGUUUUACGAUGAGGCCCAUAUGUGAAUUAUGAAAUAGUGUCAUUUGUCUUGAUUGCCAAGACAAAAUGAAUGCAUAUUACAUUAGUGAUUUGUUGCCCAG